CACGUCAGCGCGCUUUGCUGAUGUGGCAACAAAUCGCGUCCACGAGGGAGCGAUUUGUUGCCACGUCAGCAAAGCGUGCUGACGUGG
rfam:Gossypium raimondii Chr07_contig_149, whole genome shotgun sequence.